GAUGAACGCUGGCGGCGUGCCUAAUACAUGCGAGUCGAGCGAAGAGAUGAGGAGCUUGAUCCUCUGAAGUAAGCGGCGGCCGGGUGAGUAAAAAGUGGAUAACAUACCUAUAAGAACGGAAUAACUACGGGAAACCGGAGUUAAUAAAGGGUAAUAAAUAGAAUAGAAUGGUUCAAUAAAGAAAGACGGUUUUGCCGUAACUUCUGCAUGGAUCGGCGCCGCAUGAGCCCGUUGGUAAGGUAACGGCUUACCAAGGCAACGGAGCGUAGAUGACAUAAGAGGGUCAUCGGCCACACGGCAUCUGAGAGACGGUGCAGACACCUACAGGAGGAAACGGUACGGAAUCUUCCGCGAUGCGCGAAAGCCUGACGUAGCAACGCCGCGUGAGUGAUGAAGGUCUUCGGAUCGUAAAACGCUGUUAUUAGGGAAGAACAAAUAUGUAAGUAACUAUGCACGUCUUGACGGUACCUAAGCAGAAAGCCACGGCUAACUACGUG
rnacentral:rRNA from 1 species